UGAUGUGGACUUUGACUUUUACACAGUUCCGGUCAUCUGAACUUGACAAAGACGUAAAGUAAAAAAAAUAUUCGCUGUGCAAAGCUAACAAUUUUCUAGGCUCUACUAAUAAUACUAGGCUCUUCGUUAAUUCUUGGGCUGAUAUACACGUGAAAGAAGCUGUGGAGCUAGAGCCCAAUUGUCUUGUAAAGAAUGGAAAGAACUUCAGGCUUUACAGAAUCGACAAUGAGACCGCUCUAAAUGAAGCCACAUCAGAGCUGUCCACCCAGAGGGAGCAUUUCCUAUGCUUGCGAGAUUACUUCAAGUAUAAUCUACAUGUGUUGGAGGAGAGGGACAAAGACUUCAGCAUGCCCUGGAGGAGCAGAUAGAAGGAGGACAUAGAAGUGCCAUAUCAGAGGAGGGGAGUCGAGCGUAGAGUCAAAUUUGAAAAAAGUCCAGUUAUGGCUUUGUUUCUCAGGAUCAUCUGUGUUUGGUCAUCCACACUGAUUUAAACUAGCUUUUUGUGGAAUUUUGAUGACAUUUGUUCUGGCUUUUUAGCAUGAUGGAAAAUGAGAUGCAGAAACUCAGGGAGGAGAAUGAAACAUUGAAACGGUAUCUCCAGCGGCGAAUUCGAGAGUCCUAGGGUGAGCUGGCACUGCAGAAACAGAAAAAGGUAUUGAGCUAAGAGCUGGAGGUCCACGCCAAAGCUUACAGUCAGGCCACUGAAGCCCUGCAGGCCUCUGAAGAACUACAGCAGGCUCAAAAAGAGAUCCAGUGCAGAGAUUGCUGACUUAACAUCACUGCAAUGGAAGACUCCAGAUAAACUGGUAAAUUGUGUGCUAAAAAGCAUUUAUUUUUGAAUUUUGGAAGAAGAUCAUGAUUGCUGUUCUACAGGAUAAAAGAGUUUGAAGACAAACUAAAACAAAUGGAGAACAAUUAUAAAACAAAGAGCAAGAAGCUUACAGCAGGAAUUAGGUAAUACCCCUGUUAAGUCCAGUUUGUUACACAUAAAGAUACAGUACAUGAAAAUGGCAUGAAUAUUUGUAGAUCCUAAUGACGAAUGAAAAACAGUUGAGGUCAUGAACCUCUCUUUUUAAUAUGCAUAGCUCAGAUUACUCGUAGGUCAGCAUGUCUUGCUGGUCUUGCUUUGGAUGUUUAGAAAAUUGAUAUAUGCAGACAUGCAGAGCUGGGGAGAAAGAGGAUGCGUUGGUUCUCAUGAGAGAGGCUUAUGCCAGGGAACUCCAAGAGAUUUCAGAAUUGCAAGCCCAACUGGACAUGAUGAUUCUGGAACAGGAGAGGCGAGAAAAGAGCUAUAUGGAUGACCUUCAUUACUGAGGCCUGCAGAUACAAGACUGUAUCCAGAUCUGCUUUAGAUUUGAUUCUCUUAUUUGAUACCUAAGGCUCAGACUGCAGAUGAAAACAACUGGAUCUGGCUGGGAUACUUACAUCACACAGAUCUUCAAAGAAAAUGUUGCCAUGGAUACAGAGCUGCAUUCUGCAGGAGAGAGGGAAGCCAAAGUGAGAGCAGGGCUGGAAAGGUGUAAAGAGGAUAUAGGAAGAUUACUGCUGAGCUGAGAGAAAAGAUGCGAGAGUUACAGGACACAGAGCGAAAUCAGGCAUUACGUGGAACCAAACCGGCACUAACAGGAAUUCAGGUAUCUGCUGUAGUUUCCCAUCAGAGGAAAUCAAGAAACUCUAGCAGCAAAACAGUGCUCCAAGAGCAGUGGUGGCUCAAAUGAGGAAAGAGAUGGAGAACCUGAGCCAGCAGAUGUCUAUAGCUAAGAGUCAGACCAUAAAUCCAGAGCCCAGCACUGCAGGGACUACAGACUAAAGUCGGAUUUGGGAAUAAGAGAUACUGGAGCUUAGGGCCAAAUAUGAUGAUCUUGAGGAGCAGUUAGAGGACUCUUGCAAAACAUGUGAACAAUUUCCCCUGACAAUGCAUAUCUUCAAAACCACAUUAGAUCAUUUAAUGAGACCAUAGAAUUUGGUAGGAGCACAGUGUUCUAAAGAAGAGUGUCUGCAGGUGGGCUGCGAGUGGAGAAAGUAACAUUUAUCGCUGCUCUAAAGAAACAGGAAGUGAGGCUGGCUCAUUGGGAGUCUUCUGUGGAACAGCUUAGCCAGCAGUGUCACUCAAAAUACAUGGAGAAUGGGAGUUUACGACUGGAGCUGGAAAAUCACAAGAGGGCAGCAGCAGCUGAAGAAGCAAGGCUUAAGCAAAGAGCUGGAGUUGAAUGAAGUGAGAUGAGAGGAUAAAGAGUGACAAAAAAAGCAGUUUGCUCCACAACCUGGAGAGUGUUGCACUUGGCA